AUUGAACGCUGGCGGCAGGCCUAACACAUGCAAGUCGAACGGUAGCACAGAGAGCUUGCUCUCGGGUGACGAGUGGCGGACGGGUGAGUAAUGUCUGGGAAACUGCCCGAUGGAGGGAGAUAACUACUGGAAACGGUAGCUAGUACCGCAUAACGUCGCAAGACCAAAGUGGGGGACCUUCGGGCCUCACACCAUCGGAUGUGCCCAGAUGGGAUUAGCUAGUAGGUGGGGUAAUGGCUCACCUAGGCGACGAGCCCUAGCUGGUCUGAGAGGAUGACCAGCCACACUGGAACUGGGACACGGUCCAGACUCCUACGGGAGGCAGCAGUGGGGAAUAUUGCACAAUGGGCGCAAGCCUGAUGCAGCCAUGCCGCGUGUAUGAAGAAGGCCUUCGGGUUGUAAAGUACUUUCAGCGGGGAGGAAGGCGGUGGAGUUAAUAACUUCACCGAUUGACGUUACCCGCAGAAGAAGCACCGGCUAACUCCGUGCCAGCCGCCGCGGUAA
rnacentral:rRNA from 1 species